ACAAGAAGAUCAAACAACUAAAGGCGAGCAUGAGGCUGAUUAUCAAUACAUUAUUCAAAAAGCAAAAUUCACUGCCAACUAUUUAAACAAACAGAGGAAACACCACAGGCUCCUGCCACCGGAAAACCUGGAUUCAAGAACACCAAAAUGCAAAAGAUUGACACACAGUCAACAAAUCGGGAGGUCUGCAGCACGAGUGUCGAUCACGGGGGCUGAGAGAGAGAAUCAGCGCAUCUGUGUCUUCUUAUAUCCGCUCCCACUCAUCACACCAAGCAGGUUCACCUGAGACACCUGGGGAGGAACCUACCAGAGAGAGACACACAGCAGAAGACACAGGACACAGGACACACCCACACCCACAGCCCUAACAUAAAAUAUGACAUUUUCAACAUCCUAUAUUAUGGCAUUUUGAUCGGACAAUACUAUGGCAUGUUUUUUCAUCCUAAAAUCAGGAAUUCUUUUUCACCAUAAGAUCUGAAAUUUUGAUCCUAGGACAUUAUGACAUUUUUUCGGACUCAAAUAAUCUUUUUUUCCUACUAAAAUAUGACAUUUUUAACAUCCUAAACUAUGGCAUUUUGUUCAGAGAAUACUAUGGCAUGUUUUUUAAUCCAAAAAUAAAAAAAAAAUUUCACCUAAAAU
rnacentral:lncRNA from 1 species